ACAGAAGAUCUUCCAGCCACCAUUUCACUCCCUGAAUGCCUGCAUCAAGCCAGGGCUGGAUUAGGCCAAAGCCAGGAGACUGGAACUCAAUCUGGGGGUCUCAGAGUUACAGAGAGGAAGAGGCAAAGAGAAAUCUUCCAUCCUCUGAUUCAUCCCCUAAAUGGCCACAAUGACCGCAACUGGGCCAAUUGGAAGCCAGGAGCCAGGAGCUUCUUCUAGGUCUUCCAUACAGGGUGUCAUGUAAACCUCAGACCAGAUGUUCAGGAAAUGAUCCCUUCAUCUUUUCCCUAUUCUGUGCAAAGGUA